rnacentral:lncRNA from 1 species
AGAAAUCUGGCAGAGAAACACAAGAUCCACAGCGGUAGUAUGAACAAAGCGCGAGUUCUCGCAACUUCCAAGCUCAACACCGCACAAAAACCCAAACAAAACAACAAAACAAAAAAGAAACAAAACGAAACUGAAAGAAAGAAAAACAAAACAAAAACGGUUGGGUUACCUCCCAACAAGUGCUAAAAUUAACGUCUAUAGCUUGACGGUACUUCAAACUCAUGGGUCAUUGAAUUCGACAACUUCAAGACCACGAUCCACGUUUGACUUGAAGUAUGGUUUGAGACGAUGACCAUUAACAGUGAAGGUAGUGCCAUCAGCGGCAAACAACUCAUACGUCCC